rnacentral:rRNA from 1 species
GACAGAGGAUGCAAGCGUUAUCCGGAAUGAUUGGGCGUAAAGCGUCUGUAGGUGGCUUUUUAAGUCUGCCGUCAAAUUCCAGGGCUCAACCCUGGACCUGCAUUCGAUACGGGCGGACUAGAGUUCGGUAGGGGAGACUGGAAUUCCUGGUGUAGCGGUGAAAUGCGCAGAUAUCAGGAGGAACACCGGUGGCGAAGGCGGGUCUCUGGGCCGAUACUGACGUGAGGAGCGAAAGCGUGGGGAGCGAACAGG